UGGGGAAUUUUCCGCAAUGGGCGAAAGCCUGACGGAGCAAUGCCGCGUGGAGGUGGAAGGCCUACGGGUCGUCAACUUCUUUUCUCGAAGAAGAAACAAUGACGGUAUCUGAGGAAUAAGCAUCGGCUAACUCUGUGUCAG
rnacentral:rRNA from 1 species